rnacentral:tRNA from 1 species
ACCUGGCUGGCUCAGUUGGUAGAGCAUGAAACUCUUGAUCUCAGUGUUGUGAGUUCAAGCCCCAUUUUGGAUA